AACGAACGCUGGCGGCAGGCCUAACACAUGCAAGUCGAGCGAAGCCUUCGGGCUUAGCGGCGGACGGGUGAGUAACGCGUGGGAACGUGCCCUUUGGUACGGAAUAGCCCCGGGAAACUGGGAGUAAUACCGUAUGUGCCCUUCGGGGGAAAGAUUUAUCGCCAAAGGAUCGGCCCGCGUUGGAUUAGGUAGUGGGUGGGGUAAUGGCCUACCAAGCCGACGAUCCAUAGCUGGUUUGAGAGGAUGAGCAGCCACACUGGGACUGAGACACGGCCCAGACUCCUACGGGAGGCAGCAGUGGGGAAUCUUAGACAAUGGGGGAAACCCUGAUCUAGCCAUGCCGCGUGAUCGAUGAAGGCCUUAGGGUUGUAAAGAUCUUUCAGUGGGGAAGAUAAUGACUGUACCCACAGAAGAAGCCCCGGCUAACUCCGUGCCAGCCGCCGCAGUAA
rnacentral:rRNA from 1 species